rnacentral:sRNA from 1 species
GAACGACUACCGACUAAACCCCAUCAA